GACAGAGGGUGCAAACGUUGUUCGGAAUUACUGGGCGUAAAGCGCGUGUAGGCGGCUUCGCAAGUCGGGUGUGAAAUCCCACGGCUCAACCGUGGAAGUGCAUUCGAAACUGCGAGGCUAGAGUCCUGGAGAGGAAGGUGGAAUGCUUGGUGUAGAGGUGAAAUUCGUAGAUAUCAAGCGGAACACCGGUGGCGAAGGCGGCCUUCUGGACAGUGACUGACGCUGAGACACGAAAGCGUGGGGAGCAAAC
rnacentral:rRNA from 1 species